UAAAGAUUCAUCGCUGAUAGAUAGGCAUGCGUUCCAUUAGGCAGUUGGCGGGGUAACGGCCCACCAAACCGACGAUGGAUAGGGGUUCUGAGAGGAAGGUCCCCCACAUUGGUACUGAGACACGGACCAAACUCCUACGGGAGGCAGCAGUGAGGAAUAUUGGUCAAUGGGCGUAAGCCUGAACCAGCCAAGUCGCGUGAGGGAUGAAGGUUCUAUGGAUCGUAAACCUCUUUUAUAAGGGAAUAAAGUGUGGGACGUGUCCUAUUUUGUAUGUACCUUAUGAAUAAGGAUCGGCUAACUCCGUGCCAGCAGCCGCGGUAAUACGGAGGAUCCGAGCGUUAUCCGGAUUUAUUGGGUUUAAAGGGUGCGUAGGCGGCCUUUUAAGUCAGCGGUGAAGGUCUGUGGCUCAACCAUAGAAUUGCCGUUGAAACUGGGGGGCUUGAGUAUGUUUGAGGCAGGCGGAAUGCGUGGUGUAGCGGUGAAAUGCUUAGAUAUCACGCAGAACCCCGAUUGCGAAGGCAGCCUGCCAAGCCAUGACUGACGCUGAUGCACGAAAGCGUGGGGAUCAAACAGGAUUAGAUACCCUGGUAGUCCACGCAGUAAACGAUGAUCACUAGCUGUUUGCGAU
rnacentral:rRNA from 1 species